GAGGAUGCGAGCGUUAUCCGGAUUUAUUGGGUUUAAAGGGUGCGUAGGCGGGAUCUCAAGUCAGCGGUCAAAUCGUUGGGCCCAACCCCAUUCCGCCGUUGAAACUGGGAUUCUUGAGAGAUCGAGAGGUAUGCGGAAUGCGUGGUGUAGCGGUGAAAUGCAUAGAUAUCACGCAGAACCCCGAUUGCGAAGGCAGCAUACCGGCGGUCUACUGACGCUGAGGCACGAAAGCGUGGGUAUCGAA
rnacentral:rRNA from 1 species